AGAGUUUGAUCCUGGNUCAGAUUGAACGCUGGCGGCAUGCCUAACACAUGCAAGUCGAACGGAAACGAUGGGAGCUUGCUCCCAGGCGUCGAGUGGCGGACGGGUGAGUAAUACUUAGGAAUCUACCCAGUAGCGGGGGACAACUCGAGGAAACUCGAGCUAAUACCGCAUACGCCCUACGGGGGAAAGCAGGGGAUCUUCGGACCUUGCACUAUUGGAUGAGCCUAAGUCGGAUUAGCUUGUUGGUGAGGUAAAGGCUCACCAAGGCGACGAUCCGUAGCUGGUCUGAGAGGACGAUCAGCCACACUGGGACUGAGACACGGCCCAGACUCCUACGGGAGGCAGCAGUGGGGAAUAUUGGACAAUGGGGGCAACCCUGAUCCAGCAAUGCCGCGUGUGUGAAGAAGGCCUGCGGGUUGUAAAGCACUUUCAGUAGAGAAGAAAAGCCUACGGUUAAUACCCGUGAGUCUUGACGUUACCUACAGAAGAAGCUCCGGCUAACUCCGUGCCAGCAGCCGCGGUAAUACGGAGGGGGCGAGCGUUAAUCGGAAUUACUGGGCGUAAAGCGCGCGUAGGCGGCUUUGUAAGUCGGAUGUGAAAGCCCUGGGCUCAACCUGGGAAUGGCAUUCGAUACUGCAGAGCUAGAGUAUGGUAGAGGGAAGUGGAAUUUCCGGUGUAGCGGUGAAAUGCGUAGAUAUCGGAAGGAACACCAGUGGCGAAGGCGACUUCCUGGGCCAAUACUGACGCUGAGGUGCGAAAGCGU
rnacentral:rRNA from 1 species